AUUGAACGCUGGCGGCAGGCCUAACACAUGCAAGUCGAGCGAGCGGCGGACGGGUGAGUAAUGUCUGGGAAACUGCCUGAUGGAGGGGGAUAACUACUGGAAACGGUAGCUAAUUCCGCAUACCAUCAGAUGUGUCCAGUUGGGAUUAGCUAGUAGGUGGGGUAACGGCUCACCUAGGCGACGAUCCCUAGCUGGUCUGAGAGGCUGACCCGCCACAAUGGAACUGAGACACGGUCCAGACUCCUACGGGAGGCAGCAGUGGGGAAUAUUGCACAAUGGGCGCAAGCCUGAUGCAGCCAUGCCGCGUGAGUGAAGAAGGUCUUCGGGUUGUAAAGCACUGUCAGCAGGGAGGCGUUACCCGCAGAAGAAGCACCGGCUAACUCCGUGCCAGCAGCCGCGGUAAUAC
rnacentral:rRNA from 1 species